UUACUAUUUCAGUCCCCAAAAGCAAUAUAUUAGUUUAAUUUUUGAGAUUUUCUUUCCCAAACCUUCAGUUUUUUUCUUAUCUGCUCCCCUUAUUGGAUUUCACUUCACAGUGUAUCCCGCGCUUGCACUGCCAUUUCCCAAAAAAAAUAUUCACAAUCAACAAACCCAUGAAUCUGUUUCUUCAUAAACAUAUUAUUUUAAGCCCUUUUUUAGGCUUCGACGCCACCGGUGUGAAUCACGAAGUCAAUAAAUUAAACAUUCGAAGGCAAAGAUGUAUUUUAACCAAAAAUCUUGAAGUAUCCCACUUAUUCUCUAUAUUUUAUCAUCAUAAAUAGAAAAGGAAACAAAAAUUCGAUAAAUUGAUAUGAUUCCAUGUGUAUGCAUACAAGAAAUUACCUUCCACUGAAGCUGACCUGAUGGACAAGAGGGGCCUUUUGCUAUUGAAAAUCGAAGGCGAAAAACGGAAAGAGGCUGAAGAAGAAGAUACAGAUGGAGUCGAAUUUGAUAAGCGGCAAAUAGAUGGUGGGCAUCGCAAGGUACCAGAGAAAGCCAUUGUUUUUGCCCAAAUGAACGAACUCCUCAGACAAGACGACAAUUCAAGAAACAAUGAAGUAAAAUUCUUGGAUGCGUGUGUGAGUGGGUGGGUGGGUGGCACGUGGGAGUAUCACUUUGGCUUGUGGUUUGGUGAUGAUCAUUGGGUAUGUUAGAUUUUACAUAAAUGGUUUUCCAAAAAUAAAUAAAAUAAAAAAUUCCUUAUAUUUUUUGUGGUUUGUAUGUAAUGGGCAUUAUGAGCCACCAAAAUUUGGAGAUAUUUAUCUGUUAUUUUGGCU
rnacentral:lncRNA from 1 species